rnacentral:rRNA from 1 species
UACGUAGGGUGCGAGCGUUGUCCGGAAUUAUUGGGCGUAAAGAGCUCGUAGGCGGCCUGUUGCGUCUGCUGUGAAAGCCCGGGGCUCAACCCCGGGUCUGCAGUGGAUACGGGCAGGCUAGAGUCCGGCAGGGGAGACUGGAAUUCCUGGUGUAGCGGUGAAAUGCGUAGAUAUCGGGAGGAACACCAGUGGCGAAGGCGACUACCUGGCCUGUUCUUGACGCUGAGGCGCGAAAGCUAGGGGAGCAAACGGG